GACGAACGCUGGCGGCGUGCUUAACACAUGCAAGUCGAACGGAAAGGCCCUGCUUUUGCGGGGUGCUCGAGUGGCGAACGGGUGAGUAACACGUGAGUAACCUGCCCUUGACUUUGGGAUAACUCCAGGAAACUGGGGCUAAUAUCGGAUAGGAGCUCCUGCUGCAUGGUGGGGGUUGGAAAGUUUCGGCGGUUGGGGAUGGACUCGCGGCUUAUCAGCUUGUUGGUGAGGUAGUGGCUUACCAAGGCUUUGACGGGUAGCCGGCCUGGGAGGGGGACCGGCCACAUGGGGACUGAGAUACGGACCAGACGGCUACGGGAGGCAGCAGUGGAGUGUAUUGCACAAUGGGCGGAAGCCUGAUGCAGCAACGCCGCGUGCGGGAUGACGGCCUUCGGGUUGUAAACCGCUUUCGCCUGUGACGAAGCGUGAGUGACGGUAAUGGGUAAGGAAGCACCGGCUAACUACGUG
rnacentral:rRNA from 1 species